GACAGAGGGUGCAAACGUUGUUCGGAUUUACUGGGCGUAAAGCGUGUGUAGGCGGCUUUGCAUGUCGGAUGUGAAAGCCACGGCUCAACCGUGGAAGUGCAUCCGAAACUGCAUCGCUGGAGUCCCGGAGAGGAAGGUGGAAUGCUUGGUGUAGAGGUGAAAUUCGUAGAUAUCAAGCAGAACACCUGCGGCGAAGGCGGCCUUCUGGACGGUGACUGACGCUGAGACACGAAAGCGUGGGGAGCAAACAGG
rnacentral:rRNA from 1 species